CCUAUGAAAUCGACAACACCAUGUCGAGCAUUGCCUACGCCAUCGUCGGCGAAGCCUCCCAACGACACCACCAGCAUCUUCUCCGCAUUUGAGGACAACGCUGUAUUAUUGCCUACAUCAUUUCGAUUACAAGAUCCCGAGUCGGAGAAUGACAGACAAGUAGCGAGUAACUUGUUGUGCUUCUGGCCAGCGAAAAGCUCCAUUUUUAGGCUUAGAAGGUAGCAAUGGUGUCCUCUUUGAAAUACAAAUCUUACGCCCGUCCGGCACUUUUUCACCCCCAAAUCAGUUUAUAGAGAAAAGGUAGGG
rnacentral:lncRNA from 1 species